rnacentral:rRNA from 1 species
UCACAGCACACAUCAAAAAAUACCACACAUUAAAACAACCUCUUACGAACACCUCAGUGCUAAUCUAUAAAUAUAUAGAAGAACCAAUGCUAGAACUAGUAACAAGAACCAAUCUCUUAUGCACAACUGUAAAUCAGUCACAGAAAAUCUACUUGAAAAUUAACAGUUUAAUACACAACUU